rnacentral:lncRNA from 1 species
CUACACGAAGGUGUGAACACCAGGUGGUGAGAUUGGUGGGAGCCAUCUUGGAGCUGACUUAUGGCUACCACAAGCAUCAUCUUUAUUUUACAGACAUACAAGAAUGGCUAAAAUUGCAAGAAAAGAAACCUGUCAAUACCAAACGUGGCAAUGCUUGGAGCAGCUGGAACUCUCCUACACUGAAGGUUGAAUAAACGUGAUACCAGGUGGAAGCUCAGAUCUACACGAGGAAUGAAGAAUGCCGGAAAUCAUAAAUAUAUGCUGAACUGCCAGAACCCAUGGACAUUUAGGACUCGAGUAAAGCACAGGACAAUAAGAGCAACCAAGUACGGCCUCGUCCAAGUACAGCUUUGCAGGAAGAUUAGCCCUGAGCUAACAUCUGCUGCCAAUCCUCUUCUCUGAAGAAGACUGGCCCUGAGGUUUUCUGCCCUCUUUUCUGGAAGGUGCACAAUGCUCGGCUCUGUGGUUAUUUUCGCCUAACAGCUGUGUUUCCGGUGAGCAGCUGGGAGAUGCUUCUGACUCAGCAGAACUGGAGCAGUAACCGUCAAGAAGCCGCUCAAGCGAGGCUAGAAAUCAAGAAGCAGUUUCCCCCCCAGUCCCCGUCCUUUCACUUCCCCACCCGUGGGCACCUUUUGAAAGUCUCACAGAGCACUUCUGAAAAACCGCUUGGACCCGCGUGCUCGAGGCCUGGCUGGAGGUGGGCCCGCAGCUAGGCUUUCCGAAAACAGAUGGAUUCCGGAAAGGACUGUGCCAAACCCGCCGGCUUUGUUUGGAAGGCCCCUCCCAGGAGGCCCCCCCUUCCCCGCGCGGCUUGUAUCUUACAAGUUUCCCACAGGUCUGAGCAGUGAAAGCAGAGGCGGUCGGGACUUCUGUGGUUUUCCAGGGUGGGGCCCAAGUUGCCUUCCCCAGGCCGGGGUGGCUUAGGUUCUGCAGCUCGCCUGUUUUUCAGAGGUGAUGAUUUCGCCCUGGGUCUGGGAGGCGGCUCCAAAUUUCUACCCACUGGCCCUGGAUUCCAGCCCUGACCUCGAGGGGGGCGCUAGAAGUCCUGCCCGCAGCGGGAAGGGAGCAAACCAGAGAGGACCCGGCGUCCUGGAGAGCUGGCCUCUGUGCAUGCUGGUGCCUGCAAAGGGCUCACGGGAGAGGGAGACAGCUGCACCCGGAGCGCCUUGCUGCUGUUCCGAGAAAGAAAGGAACAAAUAAAUUUAGCUCCAACCUACGCAUCCUUCACAGCUGCUUAUUGACCAAACAGAAAGGGGCCUCUCUUUCAACCCUGGCUUCUCAGCUCUGUGCCCAAGGAGGUCUGCCACGG